UCUUCCGUAGUAUAGUGGUUAGUAUAUGAGCUUGUCAUUUCAAAUGCACAAUCGCUCGGGACCCGGGUUCAAUUCCCGGCGGGAGAG